rnacentral:rRNA from 1 species
UUGACCUCGGAUCAGGUAGGGAUCCCGCGACUAA